rnacentral:lncRNA from 1 species
CCCUAGUCUCCUUUGUGCCCAUAAAAUAAUGGUAAAAUGUCCUUGCUGUGGGACAACAGAUAAGAAGGACACAGCUCCUAACUCAAUCCUCUGUCUGCCCAGAAAACAGUUGCUCCCGGGCCCAUUAUCUAUAGAACAUUCUGUCAAUGUGCUGAUUGUUCCUUUUUCCCAUAAACUCUACAUGCAGCCACCCCUCAACCCCCCAUGCUUGCUAAAUAUCAACCAAUCAUGUAACUGCUAAAUGGAACAUCCCCAAACCUUGCAGUAGCCACAAUAAAAACCCUGCUGAUUUGGAAUUCGGGGCUCUCAAUCCUGAUCUGCUGCAUCGGUGACAGUUGAGUGCCCCUGCUCGAGCUUGAAUAAACGACCCUCGUGUGUUUACAUCAGAAUCGGCUCCUUGGUGGUCUUUGGGGACUUCAUGAUCUGGGCACAACAUUUGGGGGCUCAUCUGGGAUCCCCAAGACCCUCAGGAUUCCUGUACCGGAGGGUUGACGCCAGCUGAGCCUCCAGCUUGUUCAUGAAGAUGUCUGGUCUAAAUUAAAAGCCCUGUACGAGUCCAGACCACCACCUGAGCCCCAUCGCUAUCGACCAGGGGACUAGGUUUUUGUCCAAAGAUAUCGACAGGGAAACCUUAAGCCUCGCUGGAAGGGACCCUAUGUUAUUGUUUUGACCACGCCCACUGCUCUCAAAGUCGACGGGAUCACCUCGUGGAUACAUUACACUCACGCCUGUCCCGCAGAUCCACACUCUGUUCUAGAAGACUUCAUCCCAUCAUGGCAGGUGUCCAAAGACCGAGACAACCCAGUCAAACUCAAACUCAAACUGCACCAUCGUCAGUCAUAAUUAUGUACCUCCACAGGUGACAUUGUUAACAGUUCAUUUAAAGUGACACCGCUGCUGACCUGGUGGCCUGCUAUAGACUUUGACAUGUGCCUGCUAGCAGCAGGAACAUGGGAUAUUAGAGACUGGGAAACAAAAUCAAAGGGAAAGCCUGAAUGUGGACAGAAUAUCAAUGAUUGUGAGAUGAAAAUGCCAACCUCUUCUGCCCCCGGGUGUAGUCACCCAGUCUGGAGAGCCG